AUUGAACGCUGGCGGCAUGCUUUACACAUGCAAGUCGAACGGUAACAGGCCUUCUGGGGCUGACGAGUGGCUAACGGGCGAGUAAUGCAUCGGAACGUGCCCAGCGGUGGGGGUUAACGCAGCGAAAGCUGUGCUAAUAUCGCAUGUGAUCUGAGGAUGAAAGCGGGGGACCAGGCAGGAAAGUUUGGCCUCGCGCCGUUGGAGCGGCCGCUGUCAGGUUAGUUGGUUGGUGGGGUGAAGACCUACCAAGCCGGCGAUCGGUUGCUGGUGUGAGAGGACGGUCAGCCGCAUGAGGGGUGGACCACGGCCAAGGCUCCUGCGGGAGGCACCAGAGUGGUAUUUUGGACAGUGGGGGCAAGCAUUAUCCAGCAAUGCCGCGUGCGAGAAGACGGCCUUCCGGUUGUAAACCGCUUUUGUACGGAGCGAAAAGGCUCUGGCUAAUACCUGGGGCUGAUGACGGUACCGUAAGAAUAAGCACCGGCUAACUACGUG
rnacentral:rRNA from 1 species